rnacentral:rRNA from 1 species
ACAUGCAAGUCGAGGGGCAGCAUGAUUGAAGCUUGCUUCAAUUGAUGGCGACCGGCGCACGGGUGAGUAACGCGUAUCCAACCUUCCGUACACUCAGGGAUAGCCUUUCGAAAGAAAGAUUAAUACCUGAUGGUAUGAUGAGAUUGCAUGAUAGCAUCAUUAAAGAUUUAUCGGUGUACGAUGGGGAUGCGUUCCAUUAGGUAGUAGGCGGGGUAACGGCCCACCUAGCCUACGAUGGAUAGGGGUUCUGAGAGGAAGGUCCCCCACAUUGGAACUGAGACACGGUCCAAACUCCUACGGGAGGCAGCAGUGAGGAAUAUUGGUCAAUGGACGAGAGUCUGAACCAGCCAAGUAGCGUGAAGGAUGAAGGUCUUACGGAUUGUAAACUUCUUUUAUAAGGGAAUAAAACCUCCCACGUGUGGGAGCUUGUAUGUACCUUAUGAAUAAGCAUCGGCUAACUCCGUGCCAGCAGCCGCGGUAAUACGGAGGAUGCGAGCGUUAUCCGGAUUUAUUGGGUUUAAAGGGAGCGCAGACGGGCCGUUAAGUCAGCUGUGAAAGUUUGGGGCUCAACCUUAAAAUUGCAGUUGAUACUGGCGUCCUUGAGUGCGGUUGAGGUGUGCGGAAUUCGUGGUGUAGCGGUGAAAUGCUUAGAUAUCACGAAGAACUCCGAUUGCGAAGGCAGCACACUAAGCCGUAACUGACGUUCAUGCUCGAAAGUGUGGGUAUCAAACAGGAUUAGAUACCCUGGUAGUCCACACGGUAAACGAUGGAUACUCGCUGUUGGCGAUAUACGGUCAGCGGCUUAGCGAAAGCGUUAAGUAUCCCACCUGGGGAGUACGCCGGCAACGGUGAAACUCAAAGGAAUUGACGGGGGCCCGCACAAGCGGAGGAACAUGUGGUUUAAUUCGAUGAUACGCGAGGAACCUUACCC